AUUGAACGCUGGCGGCAGGCUUAACACAUGCAAGUCGAGCGGAGAUGAGGUGCUUGCACCUUAUCUUAGCGGCGGACGGGUGAGUAAUGCUUAGGAAUCUGCCUAUUAGUGGGGGACAACAUUCCGAAAGGAAUGCUAAUACCGCAUACGUCCUACGGGAGAAAGCAGGGGAUCUUCGGACCUUGCGCUAAUAGAUGAGCCUAAGUCGGAUUAGCUAGUUGGUGGGGUAAAGGCCUACCAAGGCGACGAUCCGUAGCGGGUCUGAGAGGAUGAUCCGCCACACUGGGACUGAGACACGGCCCAGACUCCUACGGGAGGCAGCAGUGGGGAAUAUUGGACAAUGGGGGAAUCCCUGAUCCAGCCAUGCCGCGUGUGUGAAGAAGGCCUUAUGGUUGUAAGCACUUUAAGCGAGGAGGAGGCUCUUUUGGUUAAUACCCAAGAUGAGUGGACGUUACUCGCAGAAUAAGCACCGGCUAACUCCGUGCCAGCCGCCGCCGUAA
rnacentral:rRNA from 1 species